rnacentral:lncRNA from 1 species
AUGCUUGUGAAAGCCCUGAAGCAGGAGCACAGCACCCGGAGAUACAGAUUCACACAGAUACCAGAGCUUAUCCAGUGUCUCCUGGUGAGGGGCUCGCACGGGGACCCGCCAGCAGGGGCGUCCAGGGCAGCCAGGGCGACGGGGAGACAUCGAGCUGGGCCCGAGCUGCCGCCGAGCACCUCCUGCUCUGACCCCCCCAGGCCAUCCUCCAGAAGGAGCCCAACUUCCUGGCCACCUCUUCCGGCAGAAGAUCAUACUGGUCAUCAUGGAGCUCAGGAGACCUGUUCGAGCCACGUCUCUCACUCCUGGACCUUGGGCUCUGUGACGAGUCCACAGUCUUCGUGUUUCUUCCAGCAAGCUGCGGCCCAGCCUCAAACCCGGGUCAAGUCCAGGAUCCUGCAGACCUGCCUGCAGAGCCUGUACAUGCUCCCGCCCAUGGAGAUGCUGAAGAGCUGCUUACCCCCGCUGGACUUGGCCCCGGACGUCAUGGUGCUGUACCAGAAGUCCAUGCAGGCGCUAGAUCUGCUCCUCCAGACCUUCAUCUCUGAGAACAAGAGCAUGGAUGAGAUGUGCUUCCUCUUGCAGCACACGGAGCCCUGGCUGAAGUCGGACAAGAGCCACGAGUGCAAGCGGGUGGUGCAGACCAUCUUCCUGCUUCUCAAGUACGUGGUGGACUACGUGAAACUCACUGACGAGGCCACCCCCUCCAUGCUGGGCCACCAGAUCGGCCUGCUGAUGCUGCUGUGGCGGGACAGGGACCCGGUCACCCAGAGCCACUCUCGCCAAUGCAUCUACCUCCUCCUGCAGCUUCUGAUCCAGCAGAAGGGGAGCAUGGGGCAGUUCAUGCAUUUGAAUAAAAUGAAGAACUUUGAAGCAAAGGCCCUCCGACGGUCAGAAAUGAAGUUCUACAACCUGGUGAAGGCCUUGGACAGGAGCCUGACGCCGGCCCAGCAUACACAGCUCAUCCUCACCCUCCUGGGAGGGCUCUGCAGCCACGACCACCUGCAGUGUGACCUGGCCUCGCAGCUGCUUCUCAUGAUCUUCCAGAACCAAAGCAUCAAGGUGGAGCAGGUGGCCGAGAUCCUGCAGGGCCUGUUCCAGGAGCUGCCCUCUAUCGUCUUCAAGAACAUCCUGCAGACCAUGAUGAAGGCUGUGACCGUGCUGGGGACUCAGCACACCCAGGAGACAGUCGAGGUGAUGCUGUCCUUGUGCCACCCCUCUGAGAGACAGGUGCUGCCCCUGUGGAAGGCCCUCGCCAACAACAACCAGCUGGCCCGCAAGGUCCUCAUGCUGCUCUACAUGAAGCUAAAACUGCGGCCCCCCAAGGAGCUCGUCAGGCUCAGCCAGCAGGCGGAGCUCAUCUCCCUGCUGGCCCUGGGUACCAUUUAUGAGCUCCUGUACACACGAGAGUACAAGGCCACGGUGCGCUGGGCCUUCGCGGGCAUCCUGGUGGGCCUGCUCACACAGCUCCACUACCUGUUCGAGCUGGACGUGGUGGAGGGCAUCUCGGACUACCAGGAGGACAGCCUGGAAGUGAAGCCUCUCAGCCCCUGCAGGACCUGCUUGGAGGCCCUCAAGGGUCUCUUCUGGACGACCAACUACUGGGAGGUGUUUGCCUAUCUCCAGCUGCUGAGAGGCUGGGAGCUCUUCGAGCACCUGGAAACCUACACGGAGGGGGUGACCCUCUUGGCUCGGGCUAUGGCCCACUACGACUGCGAGGUCAAGGCUGUCUUGGGGCAGGCCGUCAUCUCCCUCAAGAGCUCCGAGGAACGGGACAACAUCGUGGCCAUCCUCGUCAUCACCGAGUUUCUCAACAGCCAAGAGCUCACACAGUACAUGUCCCGGAGAGCCAUGGACAACUUCCUGAGCCUGGGCCUGAGCAGCCCCAACCAGCUGGUGCGCGCCAUGAGCCUGAAGGGCCUCACCAGCAUCCUGAUGGACCCCAAGAAGGUGGUCCUGCUCCGCAAUCAGCUGGCCGGGCUGCUGGACAGCUUCAUGGGGCCCGAGCCCCAGGACCUCAUGGGCCUGAUGGAGAUCCUGGGCGACAUCCUGCACAGCCUGGGCACCCAGGGCAUCGGCGCCACCAGCAUCAGGAUGGCCCAGCACCUGCUGUCACUGUUUGAGGAUGAGCAGGCCCCAGUGCGCGGCGGAGCCAUCUCCCUGUUCGGGGACGUGGUGCACAGCGGCGGCAAGAAGUACCGGCCGGCGCUGAAGAGGCAGGCCUUCCAGGCGCUGGUGCCCCUGCUCUUCCACCUGGUGGACUCCUGCCCCGCGGUGGUCAUGAAGACGAAGCUGACCUUCCUGCGCUGUGCCAUCCUGCUCAAGUGGGAGUUCCGCAAGGAGCUGUUCGGGAAGUUGGCGUGGGGCCAUGGCCUCGGUGCCGAGAACGACAUUUUCAUCUACAUGGUGGAGAGCAACUUCGGCAGCUACCACCAGUUUCUCAUGCAGGCGUUGAUUUACCUGGGCAGCCCCCACAAAAACCUGAAGCGGAUGGCCAUGAAGUUCAUCGGGGGCAUCCUGCAGGACUACUUUACCGACCUCUGCUUUUCCCUGAAGAGGGGCGACCUGAAAAUCUUCAAGAAAUACUUGGAGGUCCUGAAGAAGGACUCAGACUCCGUGAGCCGCAGAUUCUACCAGAACUUUCUGGAAGACAUCACUGAACUGUCGAAGUUCGUGAGGCAGUGACACCCGGCCACCGGCGCCCGGCUCCGCGUACAGGCUGUGAGAUUUCUCUAUUAAACGUGACCAAGGUC